GACGAACGCUGGCGGCGUGCCUAAUACAUGCAAGUCGAGCGCAGGAAACUGACGGAACUCUUCGGAGGGAAGGCAGUGGAAUGAGCGGCGGACGGGUGAGUAACACGUAAGGAACCUGCCUCAAGGAUUGGGAUAACUCCGAGAAAUCGGAGCUAAUACCGGAUAGUUCGUCGGACCGCAUGGUCCGUUGAUGAAAGGCGCUUCGGCGUCACCUUGAGAUGGCCUUGCGGUGCAUUAGCUAGUUGGUGGGGUAACGGCCCACCAAGGCGACGAUGCAUAGCCGACCUGAGAGGGUGAUCGGCCACACUGGGACUGAGACACGGCCCAGACUCCUACGGGAGGCAGCAGUAGGGAAUCUUCCACAAUGGACGAAAGUCUGAUGGAGCAACGCCGCGUGAGUGAUGAAGGUUUUCGGAUCGUAAAACUCUGUUGUAAGGGAAGAACACGUACGAGAGGAAAUGCUCGUACCUUGACGGUACCUUACGAGAAAGCCACGGCUAACUACGUGCCAGCCGCCGCAGUAA
rnacentral:rRNA from 1 species